rnacentral:misc_RNA from 1 species
UUUCCGUAGGUGAACCUGCGGAAGGAUCAUCAACAAAACAAUUCAAAAAAAACACCAAUUUCAUUCCAAGUUUAUUGGAAUGUUUUUUUAAUGGGGAUGUGGAGAUUAAUUAAAAAAAAUUUCUCAUGCCCCAUCAUUUAAAAACUAAAACUCCUAAAUUUGAAAAAAGAAAAUUCUAAAAAAUUUUAAAAUAUAAAAUAGAGACAACUUUUAACAAUGGAUCUCUUGGCUCUC